ACAAAUUUUUAUCGGCCUCUCUGGCUUCUAUCAAGUGUUUUGAACUCUUUGUACUCGUUUUAUUGGGAUGUGACUCGGGAUUGGGACUUGAGCUGCUUCACACGAAUUUUCAAAUUUAACAAACCAAGUCUCUUCUCUUACCUGCUAUAUGGACGAAAAUGGGUAUAUUUUUGGGUCAUAGGAAGCAAUUUGGUUCUGCGUUGCACUUGGACGUACAAGCUGUCUGCCCAUCUCCGUCAUAAUUACCUCACUGUGUUUAUAAUCACUGCCUUGGAGAUGGUCCGCCGUUUCCAAUGGGUUUUCUUCCGUGUUGAAAAUGAGUGGAACAAAAUGAGUUCCAAGUCAAAUAUUCAGCUCUCAGUGAAUGAGACCUCAACUGAGGAAGCCAAGUUACUGUCUUCCAGUGACCAUAAUGUAUAGACAACUAACAAUUAUGUCUUGCUAGCAGCAUCAAGGAGGUUACAGCUAACAAUUAUAUCUUACUAGCAGCAUUAAGGAGGUUUUCAAACAAAGUCCAUAUUUUUGCCGAAAAGUGUUCAUUCAUUGCAUUUUUAAUUUUCAAUUUAUGUAAUUUUUUUAUUCAGAGGAAAAAGCUGUUCAACAUUUACAAAGCUACCAUAUACAUAUCUGAUCAUAAUCAUGCUCAGUUAUAUUGUUGAACCAAAGUUUAAGGUCCUUAAAGAACUGUUGUACACUGUGAAUCUGUGCUGUUAUAGUUUUCCCACAAGACAACCGCAGGAUAACUGUGAACAUUAUUAUUUUAUGGUCGUAGGAUUCAAUUCGCCAUAUGAAAUAUGCUUAUCACUUCCUGCUAAACACUUUUGGAUUAGAAGCUGAAAAUUUCCUGAAAGGUUACAUCAAAGUAAAACUUUUAUUUUGAGUUUUUGACAAGUCAUUAUAUUUGUCAGGGUACUACCAAACCAUUUCGCAGUUGUCUCUUUUUUCUGUUUUGUUCGGACAACACGCACCACAUGUUUCUUGAAUUGUUGCUGUCCAAACAGUUUCAAUCCUCGUUCGGUUGUCAUCCUCAUCUGGGACCCUUGGCAAUCGAAUUGCUUGAAAGUAGUUUCCUCACCUCUCAGCCACAACUCCAUAUCCCUAUUUCUUCCAUACAUUGACAUCCAAUCUCAUCUAUUGAAGAAUUUUAGUUCCACUGACAUAUCAGCUACGUGUCAAAAACCCAUUUCAUG
rnacentral:misc_RNA from 1 species